rnacentral:tRNA from 1 species
GGAGGAGUGGCCGAGUGGCUUAAGGCGGCGGUCUUGAAAACCGCAGGGCGCAAGCCUCGUGGGUUCGAAUCCUACCUCCUCCG